rnacentral:rRNA from 1 species
UACAGAGGUCCCAAGCGUUGUUCGGAUUCACUGGGCGUAAAGGGUGCGUAGGUGGCGGGGUAAGUCGGAUGUGAAAUCUCGGAGCUCAACUCCGAAAUGGCAUUGGAAACUACCCUGCUAGAGGGUCGGAGGGGGGACUGGAAUACUUGGUGUAGCAGUGAAAUGCGUAGAUAUCAAGUGGAACACCAGUGGCGAAGGCGAGCCCCUGGACGACUCCUGACACUGAGGCACGAAAGCUAGGGGAGCAAACAGG